GAUGAACGCUGGCGGCGUGCCUAAUACAUGCAAGUCGAGCGAACAGACGAGGAGCUUACUCCUCUGACGUUAGCGGCGGACGGGUGAGUAACACGUGGAUAACCUACCUAUAAAACUGGGAUAACUUCGGGAAACCGGAGCUAAUACCGGAUAACAUUUUGAACCGCAUGGUUCAACAGUGAAAGACGGUCUUGCUGUCACUUAUAGAUGGAUCCGCGUCGCAUUAGCUAGUUGGUAAGGUAACGGCUUACCAAGGCAACGAUGCGUAGCCGACCUGAGAGGGUGAUCGGCCACACUGGAACUGAGACACGGUCCAGACUCCUACGGGAGGCAGCAGUAGGGAAUCUUCCGCAAUGGGCGAAAGCCUGACGGAGCAACGCCGCGUGAGUGAAGAAGGUCUUCGGAUCGUAAAACUCUGUUAUUAGGGAAGAACAAAUGUGUAAGUAACUAUGCACGUCUUGACGGUACCUAAUCAGAAAGCCACGGCUAACUGCGUG
rnacentral:rRNA from 1 species